CACGUAGGGUGCGAGCGUUGUCCGGAUUUAUUGGGCGUAAAGAGCGUGUAGGCGGUUUGGUAGGUCCGCUGUGAAAACUCGAGGCUCAACCUCGAGACGCCGGUGGAAACCAUCAGGCUAGAGUCCGGAAGAGGAGAGUGGAAUUCCUGGUGUAGCGGUGAAAUGCGCAGAUAUCAGGAAGAACACCCGUGGCUAAGGCGGCUCUCUAGUACGGUACUGACGCUGAGACGCGAAAGCGUGGGGAGCGAACAGG
rnacentral:rRNA from 1 species